UGGGGAAUAUUGGACAAUGGGGGCAACCCUGAUCCAGCAAUGCCGCGUGUGUGAAGAAGGCCUUCGGGUUGUAAAGCACUUUAGUUGGGGAAGAAGGCGAGUAGUUUAAGAGACAACUUGUUUGACGGUACCCAAAGAAUAAGCACCGGCUAACUCUGUGCCAGCAGCCGCGGUAAUACAGAGGGUGCGAGCGUUAAUCGGAAUUACUGGGCGUAAAGGGCGCGUAGGCGGUUAUUUAAGUUAGAUGUGAAAUCCCUGGGCUUAACCUAGGAACUGCAUUUGAAACUGGGUAACUGGAGUGCGGUAGAGGGUAGUGGAAUUUCCGGUGUAGCGGUGAAAUGCGUAGAUAUCGGAAGGAACACCAGUGGCGAAGGCGGCUACCUGGACUGACACUGACGCUGAGGCGCGAGAGCGUGGGGAGCAAACAG
rnacentral:rRNA from 1 species